UUUGUUUUGGCGGGAGCGCCAUUUUGAUUGCCUGAGUGCUCUUUAUUAUUGUGUCUUUGUUUAGUACUCCCCCUGCGUAGUAAAGAAGGGAUCGAGAUGCCUAUUAAGAGGAAUCCUAGUCCUGAUCUCCCUUCAAAAAUGGUGAUUAGAGGCCCGUCUCAGUCACUGCGCCUGCAGUUCCUCAGCUUACGCUGGAUCGCUUGGGUGAAAUCAUGGCUGAUAUUGGUUCAGACCCUGCUGCCAUGACAAGGUUUAAUAUGGAGCUUGAGUCAUUGGCCCAGCAGUUUGGGAGGCAGCCUGAUUCUCAGCCUGGCCCCUCCACAUCUUCCACUGUUUUUGAGGCCUAUGGUCCUUCAGAUGUGAGCGAAGGGAGGCUUAUGAUCCUUCUGGAGCCUUGCUCUCCCAGUUUUAGCCUUCCAGGAUCCCAGUGCCGGCUAUCCCUAGGGGUCGUCCUAGGAGUAUGGAUGCCAUGGUUCUGGCCCGGGCUGCCUUGUUCACAGUCGGCACCCCCGGGGUCUGGGAGUUCAGGGCCUCAAGUUACACAGCAUGGGAGGGGGGGACUUCUUUCCAGCCAAGCUCCUCACAUGUUUUUAGUUCUGUGCAGGUUUGGUCGGCCCCUUCAAAGGAGGCGCUCAGCAUCCAGUCUUUGGAGGAGGGUCCCUUCAUCCGGUGGCAAGCGGCAGAGGAGUCGUCGCUCCAAAUGCAGGGCCAAGAGGUGCAGAGAGGCCUUCCAUGCACACAAGUGUUAUAGUUUGGAUCAUGAAGCCAAGGAGGUGUCCAAGCACACACCAACGAGAGGUUUAGAAUCUUUUCCUGGAGUUAUGAAGUGCAUUUGUUAUAAAUACAUGUUUACCCUUAACCUUAUGCCUAUAAGUUCUCACACCAAAUGAAUAAAUAAAGUUUGCUUUAUUAUAUGAAGUAGAAGUGACAGAAUACAGUCAAACCUCAGUUCUCGAAUGGCUCCGUUUUCGAACGUUUCGGCUCCCGAACACCGAAAACCCGGAAGUAAAUGCUCCGGUUUUCAAAAGUUUCUUGGAACCUGAAUGUCCACUGCAGCUUCCACUUGAGUGCAAGAAGUUCUUGCAACCAAUCGGAAGCCGUGCCUUGGUUUUCGAACAUUUCGGAAGUCAAACAGCCUUCCAGAAUGGUUUACAUUCGACAACUGAGGUUUCACUGUAUAUCAAAAUGCUGCUUCAGACAGCAAAAUUACAAUUUAAGAGGCAGCAUCUCACAUAAUACAUACACAUGUUGAUCAAAAGAAUAACAGAAAUACCUAUUUUCAAAAAAGCUUGUAGAAAAGUGAGUAUGGCAACUUUGCCACAGAAACCUGCACUAAAUAGCAAGGCAGAAAUGGUUAGGGAAGAAUAUACCAGUCCUUCAGUUCAUGUAUGUUGGUCCUUGAGAGCACUGGGCAAGUUCUAUUGGAGCUAGCAGAGCCAACUGACUACUCAAAUAUCUGAGGUUUUAAUAAUACUUCUAGUAGGGAAGGGGGCAGGGGCUUGAGAUGAGCAAUUCCUGUCUUUCUCUUUUUUAAAAAAAUAAUAUUUAUUAAGAUUUGAAAGGUUACAAAAAGAAAAAAUAGAAAACAGCAUACUAAGCAGAAACAGAACAUCACAUCACAAUAAAGAAAAAAAGAAAAAAGAAAAAAAAUACAAUGAAUCUUCCCAUAACUUAUCUUUCAUUUGCUUGUUUCCUUGACCUCCUCACACCUCCCUUUUUUGUAUUCUAGUUCAAUUAGCUAUUUCAGCAAGUCCUUUCCAUCUUUUCCAGUUUUUGUCCUCUAUUUUAUCUUAAUAUAAUGUAACUUUACUUUCCCUCCUUUCACCAUUUAACAAUCUGUUCUUUCUUAAUCCUUUACAGCAUCUCUGCUAAAACCACAUUACUUCAUUCCAACAUCCUUCUAACAUUCCUUAAUCUUACAAUGUUUCUGUAAGUAAACUUUAAAUUUCUUCCAAUCUUCAUCCACCAACUCUUCUCCCUGGUCUCGGAUUCUGCCAGUCAUUUCCGCCAGUUCCAUGUAGUCCAUCACCUUCAUCUGCCAUUCUUCCCGGGUGGGUAGAUCUUGUGUCUUCCAAUACUUCACGAUGAGUAUUCUUGCUGCUGUUGUGGCAUACAUAAAGAAAGUUCUAUCCUUUUUUGGCACCAAUUGGCCGACUAUGCCCAGGAGAAAGGCCUCUGGUUUCUUCAGGAAGGUAUAUUUAAAUACCUUUUUCAUUUCAUUAUAAAUCAUCUCCCAGAAUGUCUUAAUCCUUGGGCAUGUCCACCAAAGGCGAAAAAAUGUACCUUCAGUCUCUUUACAUUUCCAACAUUUAUUAUCGGGCAAGUGAUAUAUUUUUGCAAGCUUGACUGGUGUCAUGUACCACCUGUAGAUCAUUUUCAUUAUAUUCUCUCUUAGGGCAUUACAUGCCGUAAACUUCAUACCUGUUCCCAGUCAGCCAUCAUUAUGUUGUGUCCAACAUCUUGUGCCCAUUUAAUCAUAGGAGAUUUCACCGUUUCAUCCUGAGUAUUCCAUUUCAACAGCAAGUUAUACAUUCUUGACAAGUUCUUAAUUUUGGGAUCUAACAGUUCUGUUUCCAAUUUUGAUUUUUCCACCUGGAAGCCAAUUUUUUUAUCCAAAUUUUACGCCUCCAUUAUUUGAUAAUAAUGGAGCCAGUCUCGCACUCUAUUUUUUAGUUCUUCAUAACUCUGCAGUUUUAAUCUGUCUCCCUCUUGUUCCAAAAUUUCCCAAUAUUUCGGCCAAUUGGCCUCCAUAUUGAGCUUUUUCUGAGCCUUCGCUUCCAUUGGUGACAGCCACCUUGGGGUUUUAUUUUCAAGCAAGUCCUUAUAUCUUAUCCAGACAUUAAACAGUGCUUUUCUGACAAUAUGGUUUUUAAACGCUUUAUGUGCUUUAACCUUAUCAUACCACAAAUAUGCAUGCCACCCAAAUACGUUGUUAAAACCUUCUAGGUCCAGCACAUCAGUAUUUUCAGUUCCUGUCUUUCUCCCAGAGUUCCUGCCCAUUUUAAAGAAAGUCAUCCUAGUGGGCUGUGACUGAAUUUUCUGCCCUCUGUCUGACCAUUCUCUGGAUGCCCCUCAUUCAGGAAUUUGAAUAGAUUAUACUUGGCAACUAAAUUUGCUUGUAUUGACCUUUACAAGGGCCUUUCGGGUAUUUCUUGAAUGCCUUCAGGACACAUUUUGAGAUGAGGAUGGUAUCAGGUUUGCACCAAGGUCAAACAAGGUUCAUGAUGGAGAAUCUCGUGUCACAUUUAAAUUAUGUCAACCUUUAUGCAGUGCUUCCACUCCUUCCUCCUGGGCCGUGUCCAGAAAGUGGUGUUGGGGGGUGAGUGUUCAGACCCCUGGGCUCUCACUUGUGGGGUGCCUCAGUGCAGUGAUCACCAGGGGUUUGGACUGGGUGUUCAUCAGUAUGUGGAUGAUACCCAGCUCUUCCUCUCUUUCAAAUCAGAACCAGUGAAGGUGGUGAAGGUCUUGUGUGAGUGUCUGGAGGCGGUUGGAGGAUGCAUGGAGGCUAAGAGAUUGAGGUUGAAUCCUGCUUCAGUGGUCUUCCUUUUUCAUAGAAUUGUAGAGUUAGAAGGGAUCGUGAGGGCCACUGAGCCCAAUCCCCUGCAAGGCAGCACAUCAGGUAAAUUUCAGGGCCCCUGGGGUGGGGCGGUGUAAUAAGCAAAGGCAGGCACAACUUUCAAGCCAAGUGGGCUCUGCCUGACAGGGGUGCUCACUUUUCCAAGUGACCCUAUUCAAUUUAUUUCAACAUCCCUAAAAGCUAUAUUGCUGCAUUUGCAAUUACGCCCCUCAAUUAAGCUUUCAUAAUGUGGGCACGAAAGUGGCAGGUUUAGGACUGACCUAGAUAUCACUUUGGGCUGCUUCUUGCACUGAAGGAGUCCAGUGCAAAGGAGUCCUCCAUUUGUGCAAAACAAGACCUAGUGGACAUCAACCUCUGUGAUGGCCAAUCCUCUCCAGUAUUACCCAAAUCAGAGAAGUGUGCAAAAGGAUGACAAAUAUUUCAUAAAAAUUCCUUGGGUAUUCAGCAUCUGUGUCAAAAGCUGAAGAUUUAAUCUCAGCAAAUGAGCGAACAACUUAAACUAUCAUGGAGAAUAUAAGGAUGCAACAGCCCACCUUCUGUCAUCCAGAAUGCUGCUAAAAGGAGUCGCCAUCCAAGUGCAAGGAAAUACUGCCACCAACUGGUCAGAUGGAUAUCAGUAACCAACUUUUCAUCUUUACCUGGAACAACCAGAUGAUAUACAAACACAGAUGUUGCAACUUAAAAACUGUACUGAAAUCACGAGGGCCCAUGUACCCAGACGGCCAGCACAAACAAACCUUGCAUUGGGAAGUAUUUGUUUAAAUGUCCAAGUCACUUUCAAAUGACCACUUUGCAACAUGUGCUUUUGAAUUAGAAAACAAGUGACCAUCCAUCAAUUCAUCCAUCCUUCCAAAGACAAUGGAAAUUGGUUGCAGCAUUUUUCACUGAAGACAUUGCAGGUAAGUAAACUUGUACUUAAACUCAGCACUGAACUGUGCUAUAUGGCUGUAUGGAAUCAUAGAUAGUCUACUAUCUUUGAUACCAUAAACCAUGACAUCCUUCUGGACCAUCUAGAGGAGCUGGGAGCUGGGGGCAGUGUUAUACAGUGGUUCCGCUCCUUCCUCCUGGGCUGUGUCCAGAAAGUGGUGUUGGGGAGUGAGAGUUCAGACCCCUGGGCUCUCACUUGUGGGGUGCCUCAGUGCUCCGUCCUCUCCCCCAUGCUUUUUGAAAUCUAUAUGAAGCCGCUGGGAGAGAUCAUCAGAGGGUUUGGGCUGGAUAUUCAUCAGUAUGUGGAUGAUACCCAGCUCUACCUCUCUUUCAAAUCAGAACCAGUGAAGGCAGUGAAUGUCCUGCCUGGAGGCAGUUGGAGGAUGGAAGGCAGCUAACAGAUUGAGGUUGAAUCCUGACAAGACAGAAGUCUGCUUUUGGGGGGCAGGGGGCAGGUGGGUAUGGGGGACUCGCUGGUCCUGAAUGGGGUGACUGUACCCCUGUACCCCAGGUGCAAGGCCUGGGAAUCAUUUUGGACUCACAGCUGUCCAUGCAGAUGCAGGUCAAUUUUAUGUUCAGGGCAGCUGUCUACCAGCUCCAUCUGGUACGUAGGCUGAGACCCUACCUGCCCGCAAACUGUCUGGCCAAAGUGGAGCAUGCUCUGGUUAAUUCCCACUUGGACUACUGCAAUGCGCUGUAUGUGGGGCUACCUUUGAAGGUGACCCAGAAACUACAACUAAUCCAGAAUGCAGCUGCCAGACUGGUGACUGGGAGCGGCCACCAAGACCAAAUAACACUGGUCUUGAAAGACCUACAUUGGCUCCCAGUACGUUUCCAAGCACAAUUCAAAGUGUUGGUGCUGACCUUUAAAGUCCUAAACAGCCUCGGCCCAGUAUACCUGAAGGAGCGUCUCCACCCCCCAUCGUUCUGCCCAGACACCGAGGUCCAGCGCCGAGGGAAUGCCCUCCCAUCAGGUGUAAAGGAAAUAAACAACUAUCUGACUUUUAGAAGACAUCUGAAGGCAGCCCUGUUUAGGGAAGUUUUUAAUUUUGAUGUUUUAUCGCUUUUAAUAUUAUUAUUAAUAUUCUGUUGGAAGCUGCCCAGGGUGGCUGGGGAGGCCCAGCCAGAUGGGCGGGGUAGAAAUAAAUUAUUAUUAUUAUUAUUAUUAUUAUUAUUAUUAUUAUUACUACUACUACUACUAGAGGUAGUAUUUAGUAACCUAGCACAUGGUCAAGGAAGUGAGGAGCUGGUGAAAUGGUUCAAGUGGAGCAUCCUGCUGAACCCUGGCAUAUUACUUCUCUGAUGGGUGUUUACAAUCAGCAAGAGUUCUUAAACAUUCAGACAUGGGGGAAAGCAAAAUGGCUUAUCUUUUUCAGGUGUUUAAACAGGAGUCAUAUCACUGGGCAACAAUUUUUUACUUUUCGAAUGUUGUCUAGAUUUAGGGUAUUUUUGCACUGCUGAAUCAGGAAAUGGCAUCCGUUUCUCUCCAUCAGGUCAGGUUUUUGUGCUACGUUGAUUUGAAAAAAAUCAGAUCUUGUGAAAAAAUCGAUUACAUUUUUGUGGCAUUAUCAGCUAAUUUUUGUCAACACAUAUCAUCCUAAAUAUGUUUUUAAGAGAAAAAAAUGUUUUUCCAACAACAUAUAUUGAUUACCUGAUAGAAACAUUGAUUACUGUAAACUGAAUGGUGGGCAUUGAUAAAGGUAAGUACCGUAUUUUUUGCCCUAUAGGACGCACCGGCCCAUAGGACGCACCUAAUUUUGGGGGGGGGGGGAAAUAAAGAAAAAAAAUUUAUUCCCCCCCCCCAGCCGCGGGGGAGCCCGAGCUUUUAAAAAUGCACCUACCGUAGUUUUUAGAGGAGAAAAGGAUAUCUGCCCGAAGCACGGGGCGCUCUGCUUCAGUGCGCCCCGUGCUCCGGGUGGCAGGCUGCUAUCCGCAGCCUAGGGAGCCCUGCGGGAACUCCCGCGGGCUCCCCAGGCUUGCUGAUAGCUUCCUGAAGCCUGGAGAGCAAGAGGGGUCGGUGCGCACCGACCCCUCUCGCUCUCCAAGCUUCAGCGAAAGCCUGCAUUCGCCCCAUAGGACGCACACAGAUUUCCCCUUCAUUUUUGGAGGGGGAAAAGUGCGUCCUAUAGGGCGAAAAAUACGGUACAUGUAAAUUGCAUGUUGCUUACCAUUUUUCAAACUUCAGGGCUUGAACGUCCGUUUCUUGGAACUCCUGGAAUGCUCAGUGGCAGGGAGGUCUCUCUUCAGAGUCCAACAGUAGUCAGCCAUCAUGACUGCGUCCCAGCGACCCUGAUACCUGGUCUCCAUCUCUUUCAUGUCCUGAUGGAAUCUCUCCCCCUGCUUGUCACUCAUUGAACCCAGGUUCUCAGGAAACCGGUCCAUAUGUGAAAAUAGGUAGUGCAUCUUGACGCUCAUGUUGCAGCCCAGGUUUCUGAAAGCAGUCAGCAUGUUGUUGACAAGUUCUGCGUAGUUUCUGGCCUUAUUGUUGCCAAGUAAGUUCUUCACUACCAGAACAAAUGCCUUCCAUGCUUCCAGUUCCACUUCGUUCAUUGAGUUUCCGAACUCUGGAUCUCUGAUGAGCUGACGGAUCUGAGGACCGUCAAAGAUGCCAGCUUUCAACUUCUCCAUGGUCAAUCCUGGAAAGCCUGGCACAAGUAAGUGAAGCAGUCACCAUCCUUGUCCAGAGCCUUGGUGAACUGCUUGAUUAAGCCGAGCUUGAUGUGCAGCGGUGGGAAGAGUAUUCUGUCUCUGUCCACCAGAGGGUCGUUGAUGACGUUCCUUUCUUUGCAAGGCACCAAUUCCUCCCGCACAGGCCAGUCCUUCUUCGUGUAAUGCUGAACACGGUCUCUACUAUCCCACAUGCACAGAAAACAUGGGUACUUGGUGAAGCCAGACUGUUGUCCCAACAAAAAGUUCACCAUCUUCAGGUCAACACAAAUAAACCACUUAUGCUGAUCAUAACCAAUUUUCUCCAGCACAUACUUCACCGCUUGAUGGUUCUCCUUCAGUGUACUCGAGUGAGCCAGGGGUAUAGAGGCAAACUGGUUGCCGUUGUGUAGCAGAACACAUUUCAGUGAUCGCUUGCUGCUGUCAAUGAACAGUCACCAAUCUCUGGGUUCGUACUGUGGCACUCCAAGCUUGAGCAGAAGCUGCGCAAUAUCUGCACAGUACACCAAGUCCUUCUCUUCCGAGAAAAAACGGAGGUACUCUUGAUGUCUGUUGUGGAAGAAGCUGAUGCGAGCACUGUCAGAGAGGAGGUUUUUUCCUUCAAUCUGGAUGCCAACAGUUCGGCAGAGUCCUUUGACAAGCUGAGGUCGUGAACUAGAUCAUUCAACUCCUUUUGGGAAAAUGGAUGUGGAGCAUCAUCUUCAAGAACCACUUCUUCUUCUUCAUGUCCUUCAACACUGGAGGCAUCUUCGUCACUAAUGUCAGGAAGAUAGGCACUGGAAUUUCAUCACAAUGAGCUACAGGACGACGAGCUGAUUGAAGAUCAGGAUACUUGAGGCUGCUCCGGUUCUUUCUGUUGAUCCCAGUCACAUCAACAGCGCAGAUGUAGCAGUCAGUGACAUGGUUUGUCGGCUCCCUCCAAACCAUGGGAAUUCCAAACAAAAAUAGGUACAAAUUAGUCAUAAGUUGGCGCAUGCGCGGGUGGAGUUUCCUAUACACUUCGUGGGGCGGCUGCCCCAUUAACUUAGUUUUGAUCCGACCAACUUUAUGCUUUGCCGCACCAAUUUAUGGAAGAUUUUGAGGUUUUAUGACUUCAAACUGAUCCCUUUUCGACAUAAUCACCCAGAACUAUCGGACCUGAAUACUUCUUGUCAUUAAAAUAAUCAUUUCCAAUCAAAACAAUUAUUCGACAUGGCAUUUUACCCCCACCAACUUCUUCUAAAAUGCUCCACACAAGCGUACAUGUGAACAAAAACGUAAAAAAAUGACAUGUGGCCAUAGCUCAAAAACUUGACCUGAUUGAGCAAAAUCAAUGUGAUUUUUAGAUUCAGCGCAUCAGAUUCGUCCUAAAUCAACUGGAAAAACGCAGACAACAAAUUUGUUGUUGACCAGUGUAUUUUUAAAACUUAACUUCCGAUUCCAUUUGUAUCUACAGUGCAUACCCUCCAAAAUUUAUCUGAUUAAAAUACGGACGUCCCAUUCCAUAAUGAUAUUUUUACUAUUUAUACCCCACACAUCUUACUGGGUUGCCCCAGCCACUCUGGGCAGCUUCCAACAUAUAUAAAGACAUAAUAAAACAUUAAACAUUUAAAAAGCUUUCCCUAUACAGAAUUGCCUUCAGACAGUUUGGGAGCUGAAUAAGUCCAUACCCUCCAACAUUUCUCUAAUGAAAAUAGGGACGUCCGAAGGAAAAGUGGGACAUUCCGGGAUCAAAUUAGAAACCAGGACAGUUUCUCAAAAUCAGGGAUGUCCCUGGAAGAUAGGGGCACUUGGAGGGUCUGUACAAUACCAUCAUUUUAUCAAAAGGAAGAACAUGAUAAAGGAGACUACCUACUCGGAGGUCUGGGAUCCUUUCAGCUUUUAGUGAAAUAUACUAGCUAAAGAAUAUACUUUGAAACUAAUUUAAAGAAUAUUUCAUGCAUCCAUGUUAUCCUUAUAGAAAUAAUGCUGGCACACAACUUACAUAUCUAUAUGCUUGUGGAGGAACUUUUGGGUCCCAAAUGGAGGAAGAAGUACAAUGUUUUAGUGCCAGAUAAUCUGUUGCAGCAUGCAUAAAUGAAAUGAAGGUGAUUAACCAGUGAAGCUUCAGUAUAUUCUUCUCUCGUGGAUCAAAUCCAACCACAGUGGCCAGUUCAAGAAUUUCCAUUCCCAAGUUGACGCUUCAGGGUUUUGCCAACUUAGGAAAGGUUUUUCUCCCAUGCUUGCCCAUACCAGACAAAAUUGGCAUUGCUAGACUAUGAAAAGAUCCUAGGUAUCCCACAAGGAAGCAAAGGCUGCAGAGGCAACAGACUAGUUCAGUGGUACAGCACGCUUUGCAUGCAGAAGGUUUCAGGUUCAAUCCCCAGCAGCAUCUCCAGGUAGAGCCAGGAAUGCCCCCGUCUGAAACCCAGAAGAGAUCCUGCUACUCAGUGAGCACAAUACUGAGUUUGAUGAACCAAUGAUCUGACUCUGUGGAAGGCAAACUCCUGUGAUGUUCCUAGGAGGGUGUGGGGCAUUUCCAUUAUGAAGUUCAGUCAGCCAGGAAAAUGCAUUUAAACUGUAAUCCUAGACUUGUUUACCUGGGAGUUGGCAUUUGAGUACAAUUGCAUAGAAUUACAUUGUUAAUGUUCCUGAGGCCUGGUUGACAGGAUUAGACUGGCCAAGUACAAAUGCAUCUAUUUAUACUGCUGAGCCACGUGAGUUUCAAAAAUGGUGUAGUGAGUCUUAGUUUUAUUGUUACCUUUACAGUUAACAGGUUGCUAGCUUAACCUCACAGAACUGGGAGCAAGCCCCACUUAGUUCAAUAAAGCUUACAUCUGAGUAGACAUGGUUAAAGCAGCAAUCUCAUUUAUUUUGCUAUUCUCUUACUGUGCUUUUCCAUCUUAUUGCCUGAUAGGCGAUUACUGUACUUUUGUUAUUGCACAUGGAAUGGAAUGAAUACAAUGUGCUGUUGUUACAAAAACAAUCAGUCUAUUGUGCUGUACAUUCUCAUUACCAGCCUGGUCUUGCAAAAUAUUUAAAUAAAAACAAUGUUGAAAAACCUGAACUGCAGAAAAUGAAAAAUUCAGGCAAACUCAGAAAACAACUUGGGAAUUAUAAUCUUCUCAUGUGGAACUGAGGUGAUGCAGAACAGACAUUAGGAAGCAACAGACCACCAUUCUUUUGAGUGUAGGUGUGUUGGGGGGUGAUAUUCUACACAGCAAAAAGCUUACCUUUUACCUUUUACAUUUACAUUUACAGAAAAUGACUGUGAAAAGAUUUAACAUUUCAAUACCAAAAAAAUCCUUAAAAUAUUAUUGCUUUCUCAUAUGAUUAAAAACUCCAAACCCAGAAUAUUUUUUACUGUGUUUCAGUAAAUUCACACUGGUAGCUUGAGCUCUGGUAGGCGGAAAGAAAGAAGGAAGCAUUUCAGAGAUGUUUACAUUCUUACAGCACAAUCCUGAGGUUUACUAAAAAUAAAUCCCACUAUGCUCAGGGGGGCUUACUUCAAUGUAAGUGUACAUAGGAUUUUAUCCAAGUUUGUUCAGCCUCAUUCAUUUAAAUGUCUUCCAGGCACCUGAUCUGAAUUGUAAUUAUCUCUCCAGAGUCAGAUGACAGAAAUGAGAGCUAGAGAUGGAUGUCAUCCACAUAUAAAUUACAUCCCUACCCAAAAUUCUGGAUGCCAUCACAUUGAUCCACUAUUAAACAUUGACAGGGUAAUACACAUACCCUCCAAGUGCUACAAUUUGGCUGGGACAAUCACAGAAAAUCAUGAGCUGUCACGGAUUUGUACCUUUGUCCCCAAUGUCCCGAAUUGCAUUUCACUCUACACUUUACUCUCUCUGUGACCACUUUUUUAUCUCUAUGGACUCCACAGGCUUAGGAGGG
rnacentral:lncRNA from 1 species